rnacentral:rRNA from 1 species
AGUAACACGUGGGGAACCUGCCCCAUAGUCUGGGAUACCACUUGGAAACAGGUGCUAAUACCGGAUAAUAAAGCAGAUCGCAUGAUCAGCUUUUGAAAGGCGGCGUAAGCUGUCGCUAAGGGAUGGCCCCGCGGUGCAUUAGCUAGUUGGUAAGGUAACGGCUUACCAAGGCGACGAUGCAUAGCCGAGUUGAGAGACUGAUCGGCCACAUUGGGACUGAGACACGGCCCAAACUCCUACGGGAGGCAGCAGUU